ACGCUCGACACCUACGGACAGCAGUGGGGAAUAUUGCACAAUGGGGGAAACCCUGAUGCAGCGACGCCGCGUGGAGGAAGAAGGUCUUCGGAUUGUAAACUCCUGUUGUUGGGGAAAAAGAGGAUGGUACCCAACAAGGAAGUGACGGCUAACUACGUGCUAGCAGCCGCGGUAAUCUGAGCGGGCUGGCAAGGC
rnacentral:rRNA from 1 species